rnacentral:rRNA from 1 species
UACGUAGGGGGCAAGCGUUGUCCGGAAUCAUUGGGCGUAAAGCGCGUGUAGGCGGCCCGGUAAGUCCGCUGUGAAAGUCCAGGGCUCAACCCUGGAAUGCCGGUGGAUACUGUCGGGCUCGAGUCCGGAAGAGGCGAGUGGAAUUCCUGGUGUAGCGGUGAAAUGCGCAGAUAUCGGGAAGAACACCCGUGGCGAAGGCGGUUCUCUGGGCCUUACCUGACGGCUGAGGAGCGAAAGCGUGGGGAGCGAACAGG